rfam:Triticum aestivum genome assembly, contig: Triticum_aestivum_CS42_TGACv1_scaffold_361106_4DS
UAGCUACUCCCUACGUUCGGAAUUACUUGUCUUGAAAAUGAAUGUAUCUAGAACUAAAAUACGUGUAGAUACAUCCAUUUCUGCAACAAGUAAUUCCGAACGGAGGGAGUACUAU